AUAGUCGCGACGUAGUUGAUCAUGGCUCGAGAGAACGCUGGCGGCGUGCCUAACACAUGCAAGUCGAACGAGAAUCAUGGAACGGAGGCUUCGGCCAAAGGGAAGUGAGGAAAGUGGCGAACGGGUGAGUAACGCGUGAGGAACCUGCCUUUCAGUGGGGGACAACAGUUGGAAACGACUGCUAAUACCGCAUAACAUAUCGGGACCGCAUGAUCUUGAUAUCAAAGCUUUAUGUGCUGAAAGAUGGCCUCGCGUCUGAUUAGCUAGUUGGAGGGGGUAACGGCCCACCAAGGCGACGAUCAGUAGCCGGUCUGAGAGGAUGAACGGCCACAUUGGGACUGAGAUACGGCCCAGACUCCUACGGGAGGCAGCAGUGGGGAAUAUUGGGCAAUGGGGGAAACCCUGACCCAGCAACGCCGCGUGAAGGAAGAAGGCUUUCGGGUUGUAAACUUCUUUACCAGGGACGAAGGACGUGACGGUACCUGGAGAAAAAGCAACGGCUAACUACGUG
rnacentral:rRNA from 1 species